rnacentral:rRNA from 1 species
AUUGAACGCUGGCGGCAGGCCUAACACAUGCAAGUCGAACGGCAGCACAGAAGAGCUUGCUCUUUGGGUGGCGAGUGGCGGACGGGUGAGUAAUGUCUGGGAAACUGCCCGAUGGAGGGGGAUAACUACUGGAAACGGUAGCUAAUACCGCAUAACGUCGCGAGACCAAAGUGGGGGACCUUCGGGCCUCACACCAUCGGAUGUGCCCAGAUGGGAUUAGCUAGUAGGUGGGGUAAUGGCUCACCUAGGCGACGAUCCCUAGCUGGUCUGAGAGGAUGACCAGCCACGCUGGAACUGAGACACGGUCCAGACUCCUACGGGAGGCAGCAGUGGGGAAUAUUGCACAAUGGGCGCAAGCCCGAUGCAGCCAUGCCGCGUGUAUGAAGAAGGCCUUCGGGUUGUAAAGUACUUUCCGCGGGGAGGAAGGCGGUGAGGUUAAUAACCUCGCCGAUUGACGUUACCCGCAGAAGAAGCACCGGCUAACUCCGUGCCAGCCGCCGCCGCGG